AAAGGCAAAUUACAGAAUAAAAAUAUUUAUCACAUAAUUGAAUUACAUAUAACCUAUAUCCAGUAUAAAUAACUACAUAUAACUUAGCACUCCUGUGUAUACUAAGUAUUUUCCCAGUUACUUUUUAAAAAUUAAUUAUCUGUGUUUUAAAAUGUCAGUUCUGUUAGCAUGUGUUGAAGCUGUUUUGAUCUGUGUUGUACUCCUAGCACACGAAAAAACCUGGUUUAAUGUUUAUGUAUUCAUUCUGCACCUUCCUUGCUAUACUAUAAUUUCAUCACCUCGUUAAUGUGAAUAUAUUAGUUUAUCCUCAUAAUUGAUAAUAAAUUAAAACGUAUUCGACUUAGGAGUCAGGAACAUGGAAAGGCAAGAACUCUAACUGAACAGGCUGAGUAUAUAUAGAUUUAGGAGGCUCAAAAGAGGAAAAAUAAUUGCCAAAAACAACUUUUACAUCUUUCCGAGUUAUAUCAGAAUUCUGCCAAAGAAAACUACAUUUUUAUUGAUAUAUUUCUUUUUCAGACCAUGAGGAUAAUUCCUAUUCAUUACAGAACAAUGUGGAAAACACAUACAAGGUGUGAAAAACAUGAAUAGCAGUAAUGAAAUAAUUCCAGUAACAUCAUAACGUGGAUACAGUGUUGGAUAAAAUUUAGAUGUGGAUCUUUCCACAUAUUUAUCUGUAUUUAUACUUAGGUUUUAGGUUGGGGUCAACAAUUUUGUGUGAUUUUUCUUAUAAAUGAUUUCAAAUAAUGCAUCAUGAAUAUAUUUUUAAAAACACUGAGUAGCCUAGUAAAUAAUCCUGAAACAUGGUUUUAUGUGCCAUGUCUCAUUCCAUCAUAUAAUUUUUUCUGAUUGAUUUCUGACUUGCUUUAAUAGAAUUUUAAAUAUUUUAAAAGUUUUCUAAGUGUUUUCUACUUUCUAUCAGAUUUACAAAAAUAUUCCAUUUUAAAGUGUUUUCUUUUUCUUAGAUUUUGUUCCAUAAUUUUUUUCAUUAAGAACAUACAUGUAUUAUCACAUUUAAUCCACUCAAAACCCUCAGAAGGCAGUAUUUAUUUUUAUCAUGAAUUUACAGAUAAAGAAUGAAGUUUAAAGAAGUUAAAUAAGUUGUUUAAUGCUAUGAACCAAGUCCAUAGUCUGAUCCUAGGGUUAUACUGUAACACGAAAGGAUACUUACUACCGCAAGACUAAAGAGGAUCAAAGCUGAUACUCAACCUAUGGCUGCAUUCCAUCCUGAACCACAGUGCCUGAAAACAGUGAUUACAGUUUUCUAUGAUUCAGUGAGUUCACUGGGAAUUUCUUCUGCUAGGCUCACCUGGGCUCAAACAUGGAACUACAGACAGCUACUCUGGGGUGGUCUAGGAUGCCCCCUCACAAGGAUGCAGUUCCAACUGGAAUGGCAGGAACAGCUAGCAUGGCUGGGCCUCUCCCUCCAGCUGGUCUUUCACUCUGGAAUUGUUCUCAGCGUGGGGAGCUCAAGACUCCAAAAGGGCGAAGACAGAAACUGUGAAGCAUCUUAGGACUCAGCCUAGGAAGGUGCCUCCGAAAAUCAACUGGACGAUGGGAGGGAUCAAGAAUGACUGCCGUCACCAUGGAAACUCCUUGAUGGCGAGAUUGCUUUGAGAACCAGGAGGGGAUGAGAUAAGCACCAGAGGAACACUGGGCAGUCAGGGCCCAGCAUCCACCAACCCUUUCUUCCAGAUAACUCCUUUGUUCUCUGGGCUGGUCUCCCUCUUGUUCCUAUAGGGGUCCUUUCUGCCUCUUCACCUGUUUUGAUUCUUCCGGUGGUGCCCUUCCCAGGUCUGGGAGGGAAGGGCCCGAGGCCCACUCAGGGCUGCCCCAGGAUGCCCACUUCUCACUGCAGCCCAGACACCCUGGUCUAUGAGACACACUACUAUCCUUGCCACUGAGAAGGAAGGGACGUCAACACUUUUGAGCCAAGCCCUGUGUCCCCUGCCUCCUGCAAGGAAGAAGAAAAAUAAAGACCUGACUAUUUUUCACAGGUGCAACAGGUGACUAAAGACAGAAAGAGAGUGGUGUGGUUUUCACUUCAUCUUGUUGAGAAGCCAGGGCCUGAAGUCCAGAGAUCCCCAUUCACAUGCACCCUCUUGGGUGGGAAGGGGAGGAACUCUUAACUCCCUCUCUGCCAUGUUCUCCUCUCAUUGCCCAUUUGUUUACUAUCCUCUCCGUCCCCUACCUGACUGCAUGUGCCCUGAAUGCAUGGUCCUCCUGCUUGUCAGCUUUACAUCUGCAUCACAGUCACAAUUCCUGCACCUUACAGGCCUGUAUCAAAUUCCUGUGAAUGAGCGAAAGCAUCUAUAAAGGACACUGAUGCCCCGCUUGUCUCAAUCCUAGCCAGACACUAGGCUAUAAUGCUCAUUAUACAUGUGAAAAUAAGGAAGGAGACCACCUCUCCCAUUUGUCUCCUGUUUCAGAAAGGAAGCAGAAAGUUAAAAAGAAGCAGAAGUGAGAUCAAUAGCCAGACGGCUUGGCACCAAAAACCAGGCCUGGUAGUUAAACAUCAACUCCUAACCCAACCGCUUGUGUUAUCUGUAGAUUCCAGACAUUGUAUGAGGAAGCGCUGUGAAACUUUCUCUUCUGUUCUGCUGGCCCCCAUCACUGAUGCAUGUAGCCCUCAAUCCCGUAGCCCCCACUUGCACAAUGUAUCACGACCCUUUCACGUGGACCCCUUAGAGUUGUGAGCCCUUAAAAGGGACAGGAAUCUUUACUUUGGGGAGCUCAGACCUUGAGAUGCGAGUCUACUGAUGCUCCCAGCUGAUUAAAGCCUCUUCCUUCCUAAAA